CCGCGAAACUGCGAAUGGCUCAUUAUAUAAGUUAUCGUUUAUUUGAUAGCACGUUACUACUUGGAUAACCGUGGUAAUUCUAGAGCUAAUACAUGCUAAAAACCCCGACUUCGGAAGGGGUGUAUUUAUUAGAUUAAAAGCCAACGCCCUUCGGGGCUCUGUGGUGAUUCAUGAUAACUUUUCGAAUCGCAUGGCCUUGCGCCGGCGAUGGUUCAUUCAAAUUUCUUCCCUAUCAACUUUCGAUGCGAGGGUCUUGUCCUCGCAUGGUUGCAACGGGUAACGGAGGGUUAGGGCUCGACCCCGGAGAAGGAGCCUGAGAAACGGCUACUACAUCCAAGGAAGGCAGCAGGCGCGCAAAUUACCCAAUCCCGACACGGGGAGGUAGUGACAAUAAAUACUGAUACAGGGCUCUUUAGGGUCUUGUAAUCGGAAUGAGUACAAUUUAAAUCCCUUAACGAGGAACAAUUGGAGGGCAAGUCUGGUGCCAGCAGCCGCGGUAAUUCCAGCUCCAAUAGCGUAUAUUAAAGUUGUUGUGGUUAAAAAGCUCGUAGUCGAACCUUGGGCCUGGCCGGCCGGUCCCCCUCACCGGGUGCACUGAUCCGGCCGGGCCUUUCCCUCUGUGGAACCCCAUGGCCUUCACUGGCUGUGCGGGGGAAACAGGACUUUUACUGUGAAAAAAUUAGAGUGCUCCAGGCAGGCCUAUGCUCGAAUACAUUAGCAUGGAAUAAUAGAAUAGGACGUGUGGUUCUAUUUUGUUGGUUUCUAGGACCGCCGUAAUGAUUAAUAGGGACAGUCGGGGGCAUCAGUAUUCAAUUGUCAGAGGUGAAAUUCUUGGAUCUAUUGAAGACUAACUACUGCGAAAGCAUUUGCCAAGGAUGUUUUCAUU
rnacentral:rRNA from 1 species